GCGCAGCAGUCGCGAAAACUUUACAAUGUGCGAAAGCACGAUAAGGGAACUCUGAGUGCCUCCUAAGGAGGCUGUUCAGGUGUCUAAAAGCACCUGAAGGAAGGGCUGGGUAAGACCGGUGCCAGCCGCCGCGGUAACACCGGCAGCCCAAGUGGUAGCCACGUUUAUUGGGUCUAAAGCGUCCGUAGCCGGCUGGGUAAGUUCCUUGGGAAAUUUGGCUGCUUAACAGUCAAGCUUUCAGGGAAUACUGCUCGGCUUGGGGACCGGGAGAGGUCAGAGGUACUCCAGGGGUAGGGGUGAAAUCCAUUAAUCCUUGGGGGACCACCGGUAGCGAAGGCGUCUGACCAGACCGGGUCCGACGGUGAGGGACGAAGGCUAGGGGCGCGAACCGGAUUAGAUACCCCCGUAGU
rnacentral:rRNA from 1 species